UAGGGAAUAUUGCUUAAUGGGCGAAAGCCUGAAGCAGCAACGCCGCGUGUGUGAAGAAGGCCUUCGGGUUGUAAAACACUUUUUGAGGGGAUGAGGAAGGACAGUACCCUCAGAAUAAGCCUCGGCUAACUACGUGCCAGCAGCCGCGGUAAAACGUAGGAGGCGAGCGUUAUCCGGAUUUACUGGGCGUAAAGCGCGUGUAGGCGGCACGGCAAGUUGGAUGUGAAAGCUCCCGGCUUAACUGGGAGAGGUCGUUCAAAACUGCCGAGCUAGAGUGCGGGAGAGGGAGGUGGAAUUCCGGGUGUAGUGGUGAAAUGCGUAGAUAUCCGGAGGAACACCAGUGGCGAAAGCGGCCUCCUGGUCCGCAACUGACGCUCAGACGCGAAAGCUAGGGUAGCAAACGGG
rnacentral:rRNA from 1 species